rnacentral:rRNA from 1 species
UACCAGCACCCCGAGUGGUCGGGACGUUUAUUGGGCCUAAAGCAUCCGUAGCCGGUUCUACAAGUCUUCCGUUAAAUCCAACUGCUUAACAGGUGGGCUGCGGAAGAUACUAUAGAGCUAGGAGGCGGGAGAGGCAAGCGGUACUCGAUGGGUAGGGGUAAAAUCCGUUGAUCCAUUGAAGACCACCAGUGGCGAAGGCGGCAUCCUGGACCGACACUGACGCUGAGGAGCGAAAGCCAGGGGAGCAAACGGG